CCUACGGGUGGCAGCAGUGAGGAAUAUUGGUCAAUGGGCGGGAGACUGAACCAGCCAAGUCGCGUGAGGGAUGAAGGUACAGAGUAUUGUAAACUUCUUUUGUCAGGGAAUAAAGGCGGGGACGUGUCCCCGGAUGAGUGUACCUGAAGAAAAAGCAUCGGCUAACUCCGUGCCAGCAGCCGCGGUAAUACGGAGGGUGCAAGCGUUACUCGGAAUUACUGGGCGUAAAGGGUGCGCAGGCGGGCUUGUAAGUCAGUUGUGAAAUCCUGUGGCUUAACUACAGAACUGCAUUUGAUACUGUGAGUCUAGAGUGCGGGAGAGGUAGGUGGAAUUCGUGGUGUAGCGGUGAAAUGCGUAGAUAUCAAGAGGAAUACUCAUUGCGAAGGCGACCUACUGGAACAUUACUGACGCUCAUGCACGAAAGCGUGGGGAGCAAACAGGAUUAGAUACCCUUGUAGUC
rnacentral:rRNA from 1 species